rnacentral:rRNA from 1 species
CCAUCUGGGUAACUGGGUGGGGAAAGUGGCGAAAGGGGCAGUAAGGCGUGGGUAACCUACCUCGGGGAUGGGGAUAGCCUUCCUAACGGAAGGGUAAUACCCGGCGAGCUGGUCGAAGGGCAUCCCUUGACCAGGAAAUGAAUUUCGCCUUGAGAGGGGCUCACGUGGUAUUAGCUAGUUGGUAGGGUAACGGCCUACCAAGGCCAAGAUGCCUAGCAGGUGUGAGAGCACGACCUGCGCCACUGGCACUGCGACACUGGCCAGACUCCUACGGGAGGCUGCAGUCGAGGAUCUUCGGCAAUGGGCGCAAGCCUGACCGAGCGACGCCGCGUGUGCGAUGAAGGCCUUCGGG